GCAGCAUAUUCCUUGGCUUUGGCUUCCAAGAAACUCAAAUGAAAACCCGAUAAUUUUCCUUUCUCCUUCAAACCCUCCUUGACCAUCUCCGGACUCAAAUAAAGAGCACGAGAAAUCUCCAUAACAUCGGGAUCCACCUUAGUGGCAAAGAAAGGAAUCUGAUCACGGAUCUGGAUACCCGGGAUGCUAGCAUAAUCCUCCAUCAGAGGUCCCAACAAAUAAUCCGGGAAGACGAAACAUCUCAAACCCGGAUCAUAGAACUGAAGAAGCGUAUGAAUGGCGCUCCU
rnacentral:lncRNA from 1 species